rnacentral:tRNA from 1 species
GGCGCUGUAGUCCAAUAGGCAGGAGACGACGAACUCAAAAUUCGUACAGUGUGGAUUCGAAUUCCACCGGCGCUA